rnacentral:rRNA from 1 species
UACGUAGGCAGCGAGCGUUGUUCGGAAUUACUGGGCGUAAAGAGUGUGUAGGCGGUGCUCUAAGUUCGGUGUGAAAUCUCCUGGCUCAACUGGGAGGGUGCGCCGGAAACUGGAGUGCUUGAGCGUGCGAGAGGAAAGCGGAAUUCCUGGUGUAGCGGUGAAAUGCGUAGAUAUCAGGAGGAACACCUGUGGUGUAGACGGCUUUCUGGACCAUAGCUGACGCUGAGACACGAAAGCGUGGGUAGCAAACAGG